AUGGCAGAGGACGUCAGGGGCAGUGAUCUGGUGGAUAUCCUGCAGAAGAGAGGCCAGAAGCAUGGGUGUCCUGAAGGGAACCUAGCUGGAAAGCACCAGCCCAGCCAGAGAAAGGGAUGCCAGAGGGAAAAGAAUGAGACAGAAAUAGAAGGAUUCCUUGAUCCUCAGUCAGGAUACUGGACACGUAACAAACUGGUCGUUGAUGGAAGUGAAAGAACUGACCUCCGAAGUGAAUUCAUUCUUGGAUGUCCUGCAGAGCCUCAGCCGGUCACUUCUGAACCCACUCCUGAGCAAAACACAAGUGAAAGGAACCAUGAAGAAGCCUUUUCAACCUCUGGUAUCAAAAGCUCUGACAGUGAGGAUUUUUACAGCGAUAUCGUCAUUGGGCAAAAGCCUCUCCAGUUCACAGAUCUCCCUCCUAAAGCAUCCGAUGAUGCUGCUCAGGCGGCGGGAUUUGUUGGGACAAGGCUUCUGUCCCCUGAUGCUAGUGGCCCACAAGCCUUGGCAAUACUAAGCGAUGGCACUUUGGGAAGUAGCCGGUCUUACGACGACUGCAGAACCCAACAGUCUUGCAGGGCGAUGGUGGAAUCAAAGAUCUGCAGGGCUGUGAACUGUCUGAGCAUUCAUGGACCAGAUCCUACUGAUCAGCCCAAAGAGCUGAAAGGAAGCUCCAUUCUGCACAGCAGUAAACUCACAACAUACGACUUCUCCAGUGAAAAGGAAGUUCACGACUUGUUCUCUAGUAAGCCAAACAUGCAGAUGUGUAAGGGGAAGUUGAUGUGUCCUGUAGAGGAAACUGUGCAACAAGAACAAACAAACAGAACUAGCAAAAGAGACCCUCAGCAAUCUGACCAUUCUAAAAUGAAGGUUGUAGCAACUGGUGGAGAUAAACAGGGCUUCCUUGACCUCUAUUCUGCAACCGCUCUCUCCUGCAAUAUCCCUGGAUGUGAGUGCCCCACUGUUGGUUCAAAUUACAACAGAGUCCUAGAGGCCAUUCCUAGCUUAUGUGGAACCAGAGGGUAUUCUAGACAUGUUGGAGGGCAACCUAGCUCAUGCUGCACUGCUGCUCCUGAAGCAUCAUAUCAUGGUGUCAUUCCUGCAGAUGCUUUGUGCCAGCCAGAAGGAUGUUCUCUCCCUGCUCGUUCUGCAGGCUAUGAUACCUGUGUUGCACCAGUGAAUGAAUCUAACCCAGAGAGUUAUGUUCUUGUAAACAAAAAUGACUAA
rnacentral:lncRNA from 1 species